UUGCUUAAAAAAACCCUCUCUUCCCCAAAUCCCUCUGUAUCGACCCAGCCACUCCCGUCCCUUCCCCAAAUCACAGACCCGCCGCCGCCGCCCCCCACUCCACCGCCGCCCCUUCCUAACUCUACUUCUGGCCGGCCCGUUCUCCCCUUCCCUGUGCGCCGCCGCCCUACCUCUCUUCCUCCGCUGAGCUGCCAUUUCCAUGGAAGCGGCCCGGCCUGGUCAUUGCUGGAUCUGUCGGUCUGGCCGCACCGGUGGUCGAUGCUGCCGGAUCUAGCCCGGUCCUCAUCAACGCCGCCCCGGUUGUUCACCUCCACAUAAACACUUCCCCCAUCGUCAUCUUAUCCGCCUCGCCCAGAUCCGCUGACAGGGUGAGACCGGGAGAGUAGCUGCCUGUCUCCUGAGGAGUUCGUCCCCGACGGCCUCUCCAAGGACUCCCUCUUCCUCACUCCCAACGCCACAUGGUGCUCUUCUUCGUGGCAUCGCGUUCAAGCAGGGUCAACCGCGAGCUGUAUCGUUAUCGAGCGUCCCUCUUCUUCGUCGGGCCUGCACCUUCUCGGGGUGCAGCCGUGCAGCACCUGCUGCUGUGGAAGACAGAUGGCGCGCUGCUGGUAGAGCUGCUCCACGUCGGCCCUGUCGAGCUCAACCACUAAUUGUUCAACCACGCGCUGCACCACCUGUUCCUCUACACUCGCUACCAGUGAGCACCACAACGCCUCUAUCAUCAUCGAGCUCAUCACCUAUGGCGGUGGAUUAUAAUGCUUUGGCGAUAAUAACACCAAACUUAUAGCUAUAUCGAAUAACUCUGACACAAGGUGUAAUGUUUCCCAAAGGUACAAGUUCACUAAGGUUUGGAAGUUCUUCAAGCUGCUUGAGAUUUGGAAUAUCUACAACUAAGAUGGAGUGAUAAUGUUGUAUGUCUUGUUUGUUGAACCUAGAGAUUUGCUCUGCCCAUUUUGGUGCUUGUUAAGCUCAUUUUGGUUGCGUGGCACACAUUUAGAAACAUAUGAUCUCCUCUUGUGGCGGUACUUUAUUUUGGUUGUGGCAAACAUAUAUGUACUCCUUUUGUGAACAACCUCCUUAUAUAUGGUCGUUUUGUUUAUGGAAUGAAGCUUAAGAUUUCGAUGAA